AAAUGUAAAGUCACUUGCAGGAGAAUUAGAACAUGGAAUUUGCUCUUCUGCCUAAACAUCGAAUCAGACAACUUUUAAGACAAAGGCUAUGAAUUGGAUAUCACUAGUAGGCCUGUUCGUCCCCAAUUCUGUAUGGGCCGGCCUCCAUGUAUGGCUCCAGCGGGCGGGUUCAUAACAACUGUGGCUGCAAGAUGGGGAAACUGAGGCUCUGAGGAAACGGGAAAAUGGCCAGAGGAAGGGACAGUGAAGAUCUUUUGCCAUAAUGUCACCCUAUAAACAUUUUGAAGGGAUUCCAUUGAUGUAAAGCAUAAAUACAUUCCCUGUUGGAAAGGACAGGAGCAGUGUUUUCUGACUAUAAGGAGGGUUUGUUGGAGCUACCGGCAUGUGGAAGCAAUUUCAGGAACAACGUUGCCAGGAGGUUCUGGCAGAGAGAAUUCAAACAACUGCCAUAGGAAGUGGUUUCGAGCCUUCACAGGACACACAUGUUAAAGUGCCACAGUGGAACCUUGUCCUGGGAUUUCAACCUAUCCAAGGAUGUUCUCCCUAUCCAUCGGGAUUGCAGGAUACCGUGAGACCAAAGCCUUUGCAACAUGUGCUUUUUCUUACACUAAUACAGGUAGUUAAGAGCAAGCCAGUUCAAUCAAAACAAGGUGUAUUUCUUUUUCUCUUUUCUUUGGUCAGGAUAAGCUCUUGUUUCUGGCUUCAGAGAGCUGCAGGAAAAUAGGAACGUUCUUGAUUCAAAUUUCUCCAGUUGGUAUCUGAGAGAAGGAGCUUAGUUGAG
rnacentral:lncRNA from 1 species